AGGACGAACGCUGGCGGCGUGCUUAACACAUGCAAGUCGAACGGAAAGGCCCUGCUUUGUGGGGUGCUCGAGUGGCGAACGGGUGAGUAACACGUGAGUAACCUGCCCUUGACUUUGGGAUAACUUCAGGAAACUGGGGCUAAUACCGGAUAGGAGCUCCUGCUGCAUGGUGGGGGUUGGAAAGUUUCGGCGGUUGGGGAUGGACUCGCGGCUUAUCAGCUUGUUGGUGGGGUAGUGGCUUACCAAGGCUUUGACGGGUAGCCGGCCUGAGAGGGUGACCGGCCACAUUGGGACUGAGAUACGGCCCAGACUCCUACGGGAGGCAGCAGUGGGGAAUAUUGCACAAUGGGCGGAAGCCUGAUGCAGCCAACGCCGCGUGCGGGAUGACGGCCUUCGGGUUGUAAACCGCUUUCGCCUGUGACGAAGCGUGAGUGACGGUAAUGGGUAAAGAAGCACCGGCUAACUACGUGCCAGCAGCUGC
rnacentral:rRNA from 1 species